CAAUGUAGGCAUGAUAAAAAAUAUUUAUCUUUAAGAUUGCUUUUACUUUUUCAAAAAGGCUGAGGAAAUGCACUGCAUCAGCCUAUACAGUUUGUGGAAGCAUCUGGCUGGUUUCUCAGAUAAUGUGUGUGUGUCAAUUGUGAAUAACUUCAACAAGGACAGAUAAAGUCAGGGAGAGAGUAUCAGGCUAGAAACAUUAUAGGGGUUAACCAGUAGUGGUAUUCAAAUAUUUUAGUAGCCAGUUCCGACUUUUCAUAAGUUUUCGACUCCACAGGACUGGCCCAAGACA